CAAAAUAGAGCUUGGUUAGUUAAGCUUUUCAUUUACACUGGAGUGAGGUCGUGCAAUUCGAU
rnacentral:tRNA from 1 species